rnacentral:rRNA from 1 species
GACGAACGCUGGCGGCGUGCUUAACACAUGCAAGUCGAACGAAGAGCGAUGGAAGCUUGCUUCUAUCAAUCUUAGUGGCGAACGGGUGAGUAACGCGUAAUCAACCUGCCCUUCAGAGGGGGACAACAGUUGGAAACGACUGCUAAUACCGCAUACGAUCUAAUCUCGGCAUCGAGGAUAGAUGAAAGGUGGCCUCUACAUGUAAGCUAUCACUGAAGGAGGGGAUUGCGUCUGAUUAGCUAGUUGGAGGGGUAACGGCCCACCAAGGCGAUGAUCAGUAGCCGGUCUGAGAGGAUGAACGGCCACAUUGGGACUGAGACACGGCCCAGACUCCUACGGGAGGCAGCAGUGGGGAAUCUUCCGCAAUGGACGAAAGUCUGACGGAGCAACGCCGCGUGAGUGAUGACGGCCUUCGGGUUGUAAAGCUCUGUUAAUCGGGACGAAAGGCCUUCUUGCGAACAGUUAGAAGGAUUGACGGGACCGGAAUAGAAAGCCACGGCGAACUACGU